rnacentral:rRNA from 1 species
AACCAACAGGGAUUGCCUCAGUAACGGCGAGUGAAGCGGCAAAAGCUCAAAUUUUAAAGCUGGCAUCUUCGGUGUCCGCGUUGUAAUUUUGUGAGGCAUCUCCGGGUAGGGCGCCGGCCUAAGUUCCUUGGAACAGGACGUCACAGAGGGUGAGAAUCCCGUGCUUGGCUGGCUGUCCCCGUCCAUGUGAGGUGUCUUCGACGAGUCGAGUUGUUUGGGAAUGCAGCUCAAAAUGGGUGGUAAAUUUCAUCUAAAGCUAAAUAUUGGUGGGAGACCGAUAGCGCACAAGUAGAGUGAUCGAAAGAUGAAAAGCACUUUGAAAAUAGAGUUAAAAAGUACGUGAAAUUGUUGAAAGGGAAGCGCUUGAGACCAGACUUCGGUAGGGGGUGAUCAGCCGUCCUUCUGGGCGGUGCACUUGCCCCCCUCCGGGCCAGCAUCGGUUGAGGCGGCGGGAUAAAGGUCCCGGGAAUGUGACUCCUCUCAAGGGAGUGUUUAUAGCCCGGGUGAAUGCCGCCAGCUUCGACCGAGGACCGCGCCCGCAAGGGUUAGGAUGCUUG